rnacentral:misc_RNA from 1 species
ACCGGUUUGUCACCGGCAGUCUCCUUAGAGUGCCCAACUGAAUGCUGGCAACUAAGAACAAGGGUUGCGCUCGUUGCGGGACUUAACCCAACAUCUCACGACACGAGCUGACGACAGCCAUGCAGCACCUGUCUCCGCGCCUCUUGCGAGGACCACCCAUCUCUGGGCUUAGCACUGGAUGUCAAGGCCUGGUAAGGUUCUGCGCGUUGCGUCGAAUUAAACCACAUGCUCCACCGCCUGUGCGGGCCCCCGUCAAUUCCUUUGAGUUUCAAUCUUGCGAUCGUACUUCCCAGGUGGGAUACUUAAUGCUUUCGCUCAGACACACACUGUGUAUCGCGUAUGUCGAGUAUCCAUAGUUUAGGGCGUGGACUAC